ACGAACGCUGGCGGCAUGCCUAACACAUGCCAGUCGAACGAGCCCUUCGGGGUUAGUGGCGCACGGGUGCGUAACGCGUGGGAAUCUGCCCUUGGGUUCGGAAUAACAGUGAGAAAUUACUGCUAAUACCGGAUGAUGUCUUCGGACCAAAGAUUUAUCGCCCAAGGAUGAGCCCGCGUAGGAUUAGCUAGUUGGUGGGGUAAUGGCCUACCAAGGCGACGAUCCUUAGCUGGUCUGAGAGGAUGAUCAGCCACACUGGGACUGAGACACGGCCCAGACUCCUACGGGAGGCAGCAGUGGGGAAUAUUGGACAAUGGGCGAAAGCCUGAUCCAGCAAUGCCGCGUGAGUGAUGAAGGCCUUAGGGUUGUAAAGCUCUUUUACCCGGGAUGAUAAUGACAGUACCGGGAGAAUAAGCUCCGGCUAACUCCGUG
rnacentral:rRNA from 1 species